CAGCUGAGAAGGUUGUUGAAACAGCGGCUAACUGCUGCUAAUGUCGAGAUAUUUGAGUAGAAACAAAAAACAUCGCAGAGCAGCAAGAAGAAAUUAGUGGAUUUAAAGAAGAGAAGAAACAAGUCAAUGUGCUGGAUGCUGUUUUCAAGCCUGAAGUUCGCUGAUCCAGAGCAGGAUACGCUAUGCAGACAUGUGCAAUAAUGGGUUGCAGCAAUGGAGAGUACCAUGUGAAUCGGUGGAUGCCCCAGAAGUGUCCUGAACAUAACUGCAAUUUUGGAACAUGUUCAUGCAUUUGCCCACCUCCUUUCACACUCCACCCUUUUCCAACUGAGGGGCAUAAUCCUGAACAAAGGCAGCUGUGGACAAAAGCAGUCAACCAGCAGGACUUGCACAGUGGGAAGAAUUGGCAGCCCAAUUCAAAUUCGACAGUAUGUUCCAAACAUUUCAUCGAUGGAUGCCCAACUGAGGAAAAUCCAGUUCCCACCCUUCAUCUUGGGUACAAUCUGCAAAAACCAAUCCCUUCUCAAAUGCGACCUACAGAGCGACCAUUUUCUGCACCAAGAAGCAUGCGACAUAAACUUGAGUUACCUGAGGAGAUAAACACUCAUGAAGUUGAAAAGGAAUCAACAAAUCAUAUUCCUGACAUUUCUACACCUUGUUUAGAGGACCACACUUACCAAUUUCAGUGCAAUUGCAGUGAUGUUUGUCAGUGUUCUGGAUGUCUGAAAUUACACAAAGAGAAUCUCCAGCUGAAACACCAAAUAGAAUGGCUGAAUCUUUCUACAAACAUGUGUGAAGUCCAGCAGCUGAGGGAC